rnacentral:sRNA from 1 species
GCCUCGUGGAUCUGGGACGGCGAGAUGAGGUGCACGUGCGAGUCGAUGCCGCCGGCGGUGAGGAUGCGGCCCUCGCCGCUGAUGACGUCGGUGCUCGGGCCGAUCCGCAGGCCGGGGUGCACGCCGUCGGCGACGUCGGGGUUCCCCGCGCGGCCGAUCGCCACGAUCCGCCCGUCGCGGAUGCCCACGUCGGCCUUGACGACGCCCCACCAGUCGAGCACCAGCGCGUUGGUGAUGACGGUGUCCGGCGCGCCCUCGGCGCGGGUGGUGCUGCCCUGCGCCAUCGACUCGCGGAU